UACGGGGGGGGCAAGCGUUGUUCGGAAUUACUGGGCGUAAAGGGCUCGUAGGCGGCCAACUAAGUCGGAUGUGAAAUCCCCAGGCUCAACCUGGGAACUGCAUCCGAUACUGGAUGGCUUGAAUUCGGGAGAGGGAUGCAGAAUUCCAGGUGUAGCGGUGAAAUGCGUAGAUAUCUGGAGGAAUACCGGUGGCGAAGGCGGCAUCCUGGACCGACAUUGACGCUGAGGAGCGGAAGCCAGGGGAGCAAAGCGGG
rnacentral:rRNA from 1 species